AAAGUCCAGUUAUGGAAGGAGAAGCUAGAUCCACCAUAUAGCGAGUCUUGUGGCUGAAGGUAACGACAGUAGUAAAGCGGUAGACAGCGAAACAUUGAGCCGAAACCGAAUGGUGAACGUGAUAGCCCCGAAAGUAUGAUUGUUGUGGAAGCCGAUAUGCUCUAACUACAUAGUAGGCAAAAGAAGAUUGGAGGUCAAACUAGUAAAAAUCCAAAAAUUUUCAACCACCGGGGUCGCAGGAGU
rfam:Orientia tsutsugamushi str. Gilliam got.contig.15_1, whole genome shotgun sequence.